UCUUGUUUCCGAUCAAAGAGCGAAGGUCUGUCACUGCAAUAUUGGUCAAGAAAUCAAUCGGAGAGUUGAAUAUUCAUAUCUAGGGGAGUAUACCAUGGAAGUGUUCGCAUCGUUUCGGUGUCCAAACUAAUAUUCACGGAAUUACCUUUCACAGGUUUCCAAAAGAUACUGUUAAGAGGAGAGAGUGGGAAGUCGCUGUCCGGAUGGAAGGGGUUUCUGCCAGGUGGUCUUCCGCACUCUACAGUGAUCAUUUCAAGCCUGAGGACUUGACAGAACAGGUCAGACAGUGAGGAUCAGAGAUGGAGCUAAUCCUUCUGUAUUCAGUUUCCCAGCUCACCUCCAAAGGCCUAUUUAGCCCAGGACAAGUGAGAGUUCAAAGAAAGCUCAAGAGAGUCUGUCAGUGGACUGUUCACAGCUUGUCCAAGACACUGAUGAGCCCCUGCCUGUGUCUAAUGUUGACCACUCCUACCUUCAUCAUGUGAUGAUGUGAGGACCAGACUCAUUGAUGCCUUGGCUGGGGUGGAGAGUCUGGAGAAAAACAAAAGGAAUGCAGUGGCUAGAGAAAGGAGGGCAAAGAACACAGUGCACAGUUUACUAGAGCAUCUUAGAGGGAAGACACUCAUAAAUGAAGACCUGAAAGACAAGCUUGAUUCAUACUCAGGAUGCUGGAAUAAUAAGCCUUCAGCAGCCAGUUCCAUGGUGUGGUGUGGGGUGCUUCGAAGCGCAUCAGGAAAUGUGGUGGUACAAGAUGCGACUGUCUUCCUGUCUGCUCUUGAAAUGUCAUCUUCCCCCACAGCAGAAGAAACCGAAGAGCUUCCAUCCCCUUUCACAAACAUUUCUGCAAUUGAGCGUGACCACAGUUGUCUGCCAACCCGCUUUGGUGGCCUUGUUGACAGGGCCCUAGUCUACAUCUCAGGGUUUGUGUUUCGGCAAAUUUUAAAGAAGCUAUUGUGUGAUGUGUGCCGUGGUAACUUGGUGACUGAUGCUGUACCUGCAUCAUUUGAUCAGAGCUACCACUUACUCAAACUAAAAAACAUAGGGGGGCUAAUGGUUCCAUCUGAGGGAACAGUGAGGGUGUUCAGAUCAGAUGAAUGUUACAUUCACCAGUCUUUGUCCCGACAAGCUGUCAAGCUGUCCUCCAUCAGUCAGUUUGUACGGGCUGAUGUUGGUGCUAAGGAUGUGUUUAGUCUACGUGGCCACAUUCAGGAAACAUGUGGAAAUGACAACCAUGACAAUGUGCUGAUGUCACUUUGUUUGCUGAUGUUUCCGUGUUCCACAAACUAAGACUGCACCACAUUGCCAAACUGAACAUGCUGCAAUUACAGAAAACUUCUGCAACUUCUGUAAAAGAAACAUGUCUAUAGUUUCCAUAACCUGCACGUGUUGUUGUUUUGAAUGAUUUUUGUUGCCUGAAAAUGGCCAAAGAAAUGAAAAGAAAUAUGAGAACAUAUGUUUGGGUUUUGGAUAUGCUGACAUGUCACACCAUCGGGCCAAUCCGUUGGAUGAUGCUUUAGGUAUUUAUGACUGUGAUUAAUUGUCCCCUUUAUUCUUUUGACUUUCCAUCUUCUUCUUUGACUUUUCCUCUCUAGUCCGAUGCCUAGUCAUGUCCGAUCAUGUCACGUCUCUUAUGUCAUGUCAUCCAUUGGGGGUUAAAAAAGUAACAAACUUGUUUUUCCAAUGUAAGGAGUAGAAAGUACAGACACUGUGUACAAAUGUAGGGUUAGCACCUAAUGCAGUGUAAAUAAAGCCUAUAUUUCUUGAUCAGUCCUUUUUUUUCUGAUCAAUAACAUAUUUAUUUUCUUAUCUAAGUACCUAGAUAGAACAAUGUGGUAAUUUUGAUUAUUGUACUGACAGAAUGCAGGAUGUUAAUACAUUUUAAAAUAUUUUUUUUCUUGCAUUCAAGAAGGUAGAUACAGACUUAUUAAGUGCAAAAUGCAGAAGGCAUCACACACUUCAUUACACAACCAUAUUGGCAUCUAAAUGCUGCAACUGGUCAAGAUGGCAACAUUUAAACAUAAUUUUUAAAUUGAUCAUUUUAUACAUAUGUAAAUGCAGUGGUGUGGUGUAUAAAAUAACAUGAAAUAAGAAUGGACAUUGUUUCUACAAGUGCCUCAAAAAUGUGCAGUACAAGAGUAAAUAAACUACUUCUUUGUGUA